CCAUGUUUGAUAUGAACAUCUGACAUUGUAACAUUAUAUAUAUAUAUGACUGAAAAUAAGGAAAAGCAUAAUAGGUGCCCUUCAAGAAGUACAUAUAGUAGAUGGCCACCUCUAAAGGAUGCUGCACACACAUAAUCCUCAAAGUAAAGGUCAAAAUGGUACAUAAAAAACACAAAUCACCAGUCACAAGAUAGUAUUACAAAAGAGACCAAUAAUUUAAUACCUGAGUCUAUAUUAAAAACAGAUAACACACAGAGCAAAAACUACAAAACUGGAGUUAAAGUGCAACUUACAUUUUUAAAAAAAUGAAAUUUAUACUUAAUACUGUCUGAAAAUGACCAUUUGAAAAGUUAAUGCAAUAUUACGUACGCAUCAUAUUACGUAACAAAAGGGAGUCGGUCUCCUCGGCUCUGCCUCAGCUCAGUGUGCAGUAGUCAGUGGUAGUGAGUCUGAACAGUUGUGAUAUAGCGAGUCGGUCUUAUUUCAGUAGUUUUAUAUUGCUUUUCAACAUUUAUCAUCAUGGUAAAUUAUUGUGUUUGUGCAGGUUGCACAAUCUGAUGAGUCAUCUGAAGAGGAGCCAUCAAAAUAGCCACUGCAGGAAUCUCACCCUGAUGUCAAUGCUGCUGAUUGUGUGCCAAAGCCAGCUGAUGUCCUUGUUUACCAUUUGUCCUUCCUGUUGUGGGGAAACCCGGGGAAACGUGGAGCAGCAGGAUGGAGGAGGGAGGGAACACGGAGGGAAUUUAUAUAAAAAUAAAUCAGCUAAGAGGAUAUUUGUAAAUUCUACUGAUAGAAAAAUAAAGUUGUAUCAUAACCUGUA